AAUGGGCGCAAGCCUGAUCCAGCCAUGCCGCGUGAGUGAUGACGGCCUUAGGGUUGUAAAGCUCUUUCGCCAGGGACGAUAAUGACGGUACCUGGAUAAGAAGCCCCGGCUAACUUCGUGCCAGCAGCCGCGGUAAUACGAAGGGGGCUAGCGUUGUUCGGAAUCACUGGGCGUAAAGCGCACGUAGGCGGAUCUUUAAGUCAGGGGUGAAAUCCCGAGGCUCAACCUCGGAACUGCCUUUGAUACUGGGGAUCUCGAGUUCGGGAGAGGUGAGUGGAACUGCGAGUGUAGAGGUGAAAUUCGUAGAUAUUCGCAAGAACACCAGUGGCGAAGGCGGCUCACUGGCCCGAUACUGACGCUGAGGUGCGAAAGCGUGGGGAGCAAA
rnacentral:rRNA from 1 species